GACGAACGCUGGCGGCGUGCUUAACACAUGCAAGUCGAACGGAAAGGCCCUGCUUUUGUGGGGUGCUCGAUUGGCGAACGGGUGAGUAACACGUGUGUAACCUGCCCUUGACUUUGGUAUAACUUCAGGAAACUUGGGCUAAUACCUGAUAGGAUCUCCUGCUGCAUGGUGGGGGUUGGAAAGUUUCGGCGGUUGGGGAUGGACUCGCGGCUUAUCAGCUUGUUGGUGGGGUAGUGGCUUACCAAGGCUUUGACGGGUAGCCGGCCUGAGAGGGUGACCGGCAACAUUGGGACUGAGAUACGGCCCAGACUCCUACGGGAGGCAGCAGUGGGGAAUAUUGCACAAUGGGCGGAAGCCUGAUGCAGCAACGCCGCGUGCGGGAUGACGGCCUUCGGGUUGUAAACCGCUUUCGACUGUGACGAAGCGUGAGUGACGGUAAUGGGUAAAGAAGCACCGGCUAACUACGUG
rnacentral:rRNA from 1 species